rnacentral:rRNA from 1 species
CGUCUAUAUACGUAUAGCAUAUCAAUAAGCGGAGGAAAAGAAACUAACUAGGAUUCCCUCAGUAACGGCGAGUGAAGCGGGAAGAGCUCAAAUUUGAAAUCUUCAAGGUUCUACCUUGACGAAUUGUAGUUUAAAGAAGUGUUUUCUGUUGGAGUUUUGGUAAAAGUUCUUUGGAAUAGGACAUCAUAGAGGGUGAGAAUCCCGUAUUUGACCAUUAUUUCCAACUUUGUGAUACACUUUCAAAGAGUCGGAUUGUUUGGGAAUGCAGUCCAAAAUGGGUGGUAAAUUUCAUCUAAAGCUAAAUAUUGGCGAGAGACCGAUAGCGAACAAGUACCAUGAGGGAAAGAUGAAAAGAACUUUGAAAAGAGAGUUAAACAGUACGUGAAAUUGUCAAAAGGGAAGCGUUUGACACCAGUGUUGUUUUCUCGAAAAUCAAUUAAAAAUGGCAGGAUUUUGUGUUGUAUUGACUUUAUCAGCUUUCUGCACUUUUUUCUUGUCUUUUUUAAUGCACUUUUCGUUUAACAAGUCAACAUCAAUUUCUUUUGUUGUAAAAGGGUCAUUGGAAGGUGGCUUUCUUUUCGGAGAAAGUGUUUAUAGCCUUUGACUUCUGCAGUCGGAGAGAUUGAGGUCUGCAGCGUAGAUCCUUCGGGGUUAGAUGCAUUUGUGCUAAGUUAUAGCCUUUCAUAGACAACUUGUUGACUAUGAUCAGUCAUGUAGCUUACUCGCUUAUGCUAUUUUACCUACGCUUAGGAUGUUGACGAUCAGCUGAGCGCG